UACGUAGGCAGCAAGCGUUGUUCGGAGUUACUGGGCGUAAAGGGUGUGUAGGCGGUUGUUUAAGUUUGGUGAUGAAAUCUCCCGGCUCAACUGGGAGGGUGCGCCGAAUACUGAAUGACUAGAGUGCGGGAGAGGAAAGUGGAAUUCCGUGGUGUAGACGGUUGAAAUGCGUAGAUAUCAGGAGGAACACCGAUGGCGAAGGCAGGUCUCUGGGCUGACACUGACGCUCGAUGCAGAAGCGUGGGGAGCAAACAGG
rnacentral:rRNA from 1 species